CCUACGGGAGGCAGCAGUGGGGAAUCUUGCGCAAUGGCCGAGAGGCUGACGCAGCGACGCCGCGUGGGGGAUGAAGCAUUUCGGUGUGUAAACCCCUGUUGCUCGGGACGAACGACCCUUUUCGAGGGGUGUGACGGUACCGAGUGAGGAAGCACCGGCUAACUCCGUGCCAGCAGCCGCGGUAAUACGGAGGGUGCAAGCGUUGUCCGGAAUCACUGGGCGUAAAGGGCGCGUAGGUGGUUGGAUGCGCCGGUGGUGAAAGCGCAGGGCUCAACCCUGCGUCGGCCAUCGGGACGGUCCGACUGGAGCACUGUAGAGGCAGGUGGAAUUCCGGGUGUAGCGGUGGAAUGCGUAGAGAUCCGGAAGAACACCGGUGGCGAAGGCGGCCUGCUGGGCAGUUGCUGACACUGAGGCGCGACAGCGUGGGGAGCAAACAGGAUUAGAUACCCUGGUAGUCCACGCCGUAAACGAUGGGCACUAGGUGCUUGGGGGAGCGACCCCCUGAGUGCCGACGCUAACGCAUUAAGUGCCCCGCCUGGGGAGUACGACCGCAAGGUUGAAACUCAAAGGAAUUGACGGCUGAGACGNGCGAGACGACGACGAGGGAGAGG
rnacentral:rRNA from 1 species